rnacentral:rRNA from 1 species
GAUGAACGCUGGCGGCGUGCCUAAUACGUGCAAGUCGAGCGAACGGACGAGAAGCUUGCUUCUCUGAUGUUAGCGGCGGACGGGUGAGUAACACGUGGAUAACCUACCUAUAAGACUGGGAUAACUUCGGGAAACCGGAGCUAAUACCGGAUAAUAUUUUGAACCGCAUGGUUCAAAAGUGAAAGACGGUCUUGCUGUCACUUAUAGAUGGAUCCGCGCUGCAUUAGCUAGUUGGUAAGGUAACGGCUUACCAAGGCAACGAUGCAUAGCCGACCUGAGAGGGUGAUCGGCCACACUGGAACUGAGACACGGUCCAGACUCCUACGGGAGGCAGCAGUAGGGAAUCUUCCGCAAUGGGCGAAAGCCUGACGGAGCAACGCCGCGUGAGUGAUGAAGGUCUUCGGAUCGUAAAACUCUGUUAUUAGGGAAGAACAUAUGUGUAAGUAACUGUGCACAUCUUGACGGUACCUAAUCAGAAAGCCACGGCUAACUACGUGCCAGCAGCCGCGGUAAUACGUAGGUGGCAAGCGUUAUCCGGAAUUAUUGGGCGUAAAGCGCGCGUAGGCGGUUUUUUAAGUCUGAUGUGAAAGCCCACGGCUCAACCGUGGAGGGUCAUUGGAAACUGGAAAACUUGAGUGCAGAAGAGGAAAGUGGAAUUCCAUGUGUAGCGGUGAAAUGCGCAGAGAUAUGGAGGAACACCAGUGGCGAAGGCGACUUUCUGGUCUGUAACUGACGCUGAUGUGCGAAAGCGUGGGGAUCAAACAGGAUUAGAUACCCUGGUAGUCCACGCCGUGAACGAUGAGUGCUAAGUGUUAGGGGGUUUCCGCCCCUUAGUGCUGCAGCUAACGCAUUAAGCACUCCGCCUGGGGAGUACGACCGCAAGGUUGAAACUCAAAGGAAUUGACGGGGACCCGCACAAGCGGUGGAGCAUGUGGUUUAAUUCGAAGCAACGCGAAGAACCUUACCGAAUCUUGACAUCCUUUGACAACUCUAGAGAUAGAGCCUUCCCCUUCGGGGGACAAAGUGACAGGUGGCGCAUGGUUGUCGUCAGCUCGUGUCGUGAGAUGUUGGGUUAAGUCCCGCAACGAGCGCAACCCUUAAGCUUAGUUGCCAUCAUUAAGUUGGGCACUCUAAGUUGACUGCCGGUGACAAACCGGAGGAAGGUGGGGAUGACGUCAAAUCAUCAUGCCCCUUAUGAUUUGGGCUACACACGUGCUACAAUGGACAAUACAAAGGGCAGCGAAACCGCGAGGUCAAGCAAAUCCCAUAAAGUUGUUCUCAGUUCGGAUUGUAGUCUGCAACUCGACUACAUGAAGCUGGAAUCGCUAGUAAUCGUAGAUCAGCAUGCUACGGUGAAUACGUUCCCGGGUCU